rnacentral:rRNA from 1 species
AACGAACGCUGGCGGCAUGCCUAACACAUGCAAGUCGAACGAAGCCUUCGGGCUUAGUGGCGCACGGGUGCGUAACGCGUGGGAGUCUGCCCUUGGGUUCGGAAUAACAGUUAGAAAUGACUGCUAAUACCGGAUGAUGUCCUCGGACCAAAGAUUUAUCGCCCAAGGAUGAGCCCGCGUAGGAUUAGGUAGUUGGUGGGGUAAUGGCUCACCAAGCCGACGAUCCUUAGCUGGUCUGAGAGGAUGAUCAGCCACACUGGGACUGAGACACGGCCCAGACUCCUACGGGAGGCAGCAGUGGGGAAUAUUGGACAAUGGGCGAAAGCUUGAUCCAGCAAUGCCGCGUGAGUGAUGAAGGCCUUAGGGUUGUAAAGCUCUUUUACCAGGGAUGAUAAUGACAGUACCUGGAGAAUAAGCUCCGGCUAACUCCGUGCCAGCCGCCGCCGUAAUAC